ensembl:lncRNA
CGACUUUCUGGAAAGCACACAGUUAUAAAAUCCCACUCUUCUGCAGGGACCCUACGCCGAGCCUGCUUCAUCAAAUGAAAAACAGAACCAGGACCACCAUGCAGCGCUGUGUCUGUGGGAGGCUUUAAAAGAAGUCCAGGUGUCACAAAGAAGACAGAGCAACAUUGGUUUAGGAAAAGUGGAUCAUCUUUGCCUCAUCAGCCAGGCCAUUUUCUACAGGACGACGGAUCCCGAAGCCCCUGGCAGCCCAACGUUGCCAUCAUCUCCGUAACUGGCAGCUAUAUUGUCCACAGUAGCAGCUGCGACUCGCCUCGGGGACGAAGCUCUUGUCUCACCGCACAUGGUCUACAAACCCUGCAUGACAAGUGCUUUCUCCGUGCUACGAUGGCGAGAACAGAGGUGCCAGAUCAGUUUCCAUGACUCCCCUGCAGAAUGCCAGCGAUGAGCUGCAGUGAACAUGACAGUGUGGUGGGUUUGGUCUGUUAUUAUUGUGACUUCCUGUGGCUAACCACCAUGCUGCGGGUGUGCACACACACACACACACACACACACAAACCAUCAGACACCUGAGAUGUUCUCGGAGUCCUGACGACUGAUAUAACAAAACCUGACAAAGCUUUUUCCUUUGAAAGUGUCCAUGGGAGAAUGUUUAAGCAGGCAGAACGCUAACUUAUAUUCACCACCUAUGUUACCUUCCCAAGAAGCAACUAAUGCUACA